CCCCCCCCCCUCCCCCCCCCCACCAGCAACAAGAUGCAGAAGCUACUUCUUCUCGUAGGUCUGUGCGUGCUCGUGGCGCACUUGGAGGCCACAUGCUCCCGAAAUCUGGUGUGCACCUUCCAGAGCGUUCCCAACUUGAACACGGCCAACCUCAACAACUUUAACAUGGCGUCCCACAUGGAGCCACUAAUGUGCACCCACAUCGUCUUCAAAUCUGUCCAGCCAAGUGCAGUAAUG